UCUUCCUUCCACAAACAACUCUCUCCCACUCCAUUAUUCUCCUAUGUCUUCAUCUCUUCCUUAAGCUUCUUCAUCAUUUCUUGUUGGACUUGUCGGAAAAGUGAAACCAUUGCAAUGUCGAAAGCUUCUUCAUCAUUAGUUGUGAAGUCAUCACGCACCUCUAGCCCUCAUCUCCAUCAGAUGGUUGGAGGGAUACUAAAUGGUUUGAGUUAUGAUUGAAGGGUUGUAUUAGAUAUUUUCCUGGAGUAUUUUAUGGUUGCUGGGACUACUGAUUCUAUGGGUGUCGGGACUAUUGGUUGCUGGGAGUACUGAGUAUCCAUGCUGAAAAAGAAAGAAGAAUGUUGUGAACAGUUACUUUUGGUAAAUGAUUGAUGGUUUGUUGCAUUCAUCAAGCUCUAAUGUUGUUUCUGGUAUGAGAAAUGGAAUUUUUAACAUCAUUUGACUUCA